GCCCUGGAGGACUAGUGGUUAGGCCAUAGCGCUCUCACCGCUGCAGCCUGGGUUUGAUUCCUGGCCAGGGAA
rnacentral:tRNA from 1 species